GUCCACGCUGUAAACGAUGCAUGCUAGACGUUGGGGGUUAAGCUCCCGGUGUCGCAGCCAACGCGUUAAGCAUGCCGCCUGGGGAGUACGGCCGCAAGGUUAAACUCAAAGGAAUUGACGGGGCCCGCACAAGCGGUGGAGCAUGUGGUUCAAUUCGACGCAACGCGAAGAACCUUACCAGCUCUUGACAUGUCUCGUAUGGCUCUGGGCGACUGGAGCCUUCGGUUCGGCCGGCGAGAACACAGGUGCUGCAUGGCUGUCGU
rnacentral:rRNA from 1 species